CAAUAUGCAUGACUAUAUCAAAUAACAAAGCAUGUAAGGAGAAACAUAUUCUCAUACAUAACUACAAUUGCAUUGCUAUCACAGGCUUUAUGCAAUCAAUCUGAUUAGAUAGAUCUCCUUCCACAUAAUUAGGAAGUGAUGGAUGAUCCUCAUUUUCUAUCCUAUCUGAACCAGUUCACAAAAGAUUUGAGGAUCUAAUUUUGACAGUACAAGCAUGACAGUGCUGUCAAGCAAUGCAAAAUACUUCAAAAGAUGAUUAAUUGUGGGAUGGGCACGUCCCUUGCAUGUCCAACAUGUGCCAUGUUUUACAAAGGAGUCUUUCAGAAGCAUCAGGUUUCAUAAUCAUAGCAUACAAUCAGACAUUUUUUUAAUGAAGUAAGAAGAUUUCAUUAAAUAGAUAUCAGACACACCUAUCUCUCCAAUUCAAUUCAUCAACUAUUGCCAUGUCUUUCUUCUUUAAGUACUUAGGUAAUGCUCUUGAUAUACUAACACAGAUAAGCUGUAAAAAAAUAGGAGCAGAGAAGCCACCAGGAAUAGGAAAGAGGAAUAAAAUGAGAGAAAUGAAUCAGUAAAAGGCUAUGUUUACUGAAUUCUAUAUAAACUAUCCAAGACGUUGGUGCAACUUUACUGUAAUGCUAGUACAUCUUAAAAACACAAAAUUGUCGACUUCCUUGUAGGUAAAUAUUAGAC
rnacentral:lncRNA from 1 species